rnacentral:lncRNA from 1 species
AGAGCAUCACGAGUGGCCUUCAAAGUACUCAGAUAGUACUGAUAGCUGCUAGAGUUCGGGUUCUUCAUAAUUCUGCACCCAUAAAUCAGAGACCAGUUUUGAACUCUUCAACUCUGGGUAGUUGAGAAAGACUUAAUUGCAAGGAGGGAGGGAAGAAAAGGUGGUGUUGUCUUGCACAAAGGAUUAGGAUUUCAGAUAGCAACAGCAUCUGCUAGAGCUUGUGACUGUAUGGGUUGUAACACUUCAUAUGAUGAACUCUCAAAAGAUGAAGAGGCAUCUUUCUGCACUGGUGAUUUCCAGGGAACUGGUGAAGACAGACUGUCUAUAAAGCUGUGAAGAGUUUGACUAGGCACAGUUUCCACAUGCGCACUGGCUUCUGCAAUUUGCUCUCAGGAAUCCACUGUCAAUGUUGUGUUGCUGAACCCACAUCUCAGGAACAUCUGUGGGCAGGACUGCGUCACUCUGGAGGACUCUUUUGUAUCAGGCUUUUGACAUCUGCAGGAUACGAACUUCAAGCAGUUUCUUCAUUGGUUCUCCUGCAGAUAGCUGCAUACAACCAAAGGGAAAUAACUGCUUUGAGGACAAGAAAAAGUCUGAGUAACCAGUAUUUUCCAGACUCUGCUAUCACCUGGCUUGGAACGACUUCAGCUCUGUCCUCAUAUCCUGCACAUCUUUCAGCCAGUCUAGGAGCUGGGUGUCUGCAACACUGUACAAGUACAAGGAAAAUGAUCUCUGGGAGGGAAAGCAGAGCUGUUCUCUAA